GUGCCAGCCGCCGCGGUAAUACGGAGGAUCCAAGCGUUAUCCGGAAUCAUUGGGUUUAAAGGGUCCGUAGGCGGUUUUAUAAGUCAGUGGUGAAAUCCGGCAGCUUAACUGUCGAACUGCCAUUGAUACUGUAGGACUUGAAUUAUUGUGAAGUAACUAGAAUAUGUAGUGUAGCGGUGAAAUGCUUAGAUAUUACAUGGAAUACCAAUUGCGAAGGCAGGUUACUAACAAUACAUUGACGCUGAUGGACGAAAGCGUGGGUAGCGAACAGGAUUAGAAACCCGAGUAGUCC
rnacentral:rRNA from 1 species